rnacentral:rRNA from 1 species
GACGAACGCUGGCGGCGUGCUUAACACAUGCAAGUCGAACGGAAAGGCCCUGCUUUUGUGGGGUGCUCGAGUGGCGAACGGGUGAGUAACACGUGAGUAACCUGCCCUUGACUUUGGGAUAACUUCAGGAAACUGGGGCUAAUACCGGAUAGGAGCUCCUGCUGCAUGGUGGGGGUUGGAAAGUUUCGGCGGUUGGGGAUGGACUCGCGGCUUAUCAGCUUGUUGGUGGGGUAGUGGCUUACCAAGGCUUUGACGGGUAGCCGGCCUGAGAGGGUGACCGGCCAUAUGGGGACGGAGAUACGGCCCAGACCCCUAGGGGAGGCAGAAGGGGGGAAUAUUGCACAAUGGGCGGAAGCCGUAUGCAGCAACGCCGCGUGGGGGAUGACGGCCUUCGGGUUGUAAACCGCUUUCGCCGGUGACGAAGCGUGAGGGACGGUAAUGGGUAAAGAAGCACGGGCUAACUACGUG